rnacentral:rRNA from 1 species
AUUGAACGCUGGCGGCAGGCCUAACACAUGCAAGUCGAGCGGCAGCGGGAAAGUAGCUUGCUACUUUUGCCGGCGAGCGGCGGACGGGUGAGUAAUGCCUGGGGAUCUGCCCAGUCGAGGGGGAUAACUACUGGAAACGGUAGCUAAUACCGCAUACGCCCUACGGGGGAAAGCAGGGGACCUUCGGGCCUUGCGCGAUUGGAUGAACCCAGGUGGGAUUAGCUAGUUGGUGAAGUAAUGGCUCACCAAGGCGACGAUCCCUAGCUGGUCUGAGAGGAUGACCAGCCAGACUGGAACUGAGACAAGGACCAGAGUCCUACGGGGGGCAGCAGGGGGGAAUAGUGCACAAUGGGGGAAACCCUGAUGCAGCCAUGCCGCGUGGGUGAAGAAGGCCUUCGGGUUGUAAAGCACUUUCAGCGAGGAGGAAAGGUUGGUAGCUAAUAGCUGCCAGAUGUGACGUUACUCGCAGAAGAAGCACCGGCUAACUCCGUGCCAGCAGCCGCCGUAACAC